ACCAGACGAUGCGGUUACCGCGGCUGCUGGCACGGAGUUAGCCGGUGCUUCUUCUGCGAGUAACGUCACAGAUGUAAGGUAUUAACUUACACCCUUUCCUCCUCGCUGAAAGUGCUUUACAACCCGAAGGCCUUCUUCACACACGCGGCAUGGCUGCAUCAGGGUUUCCCCCAUUGUGCAAUAUUCCCCACUGCUGCCUCCCGUAGGAGUCUGGGCCGUGUCUCAGUCCCAGUGUGGCUGAUCAUCCUCUCAGACCAGCUAGGGAUCGUCGCCUAGGUGAGCCUUUACCUCACCUACUAGCUAAUCCCACCUGGGCUUAUCCAUCAGCGCAAGUCCCGAAGGUCCCCUGCUUUCCCCCGUAGGGCGUAUGCGGUAUUAGCAGUCGUUUCCAACUGUUAUCCCCCACAAUGGGCAAAUUCCCAGGCAUUACUCACCCGUCCGCCGCUCGUCAUCUUCAAAAGCAAGCUUUUGAAAUGUUACCGCUCGACUUGCAUGUG
rnacentral:rRNA from 1 species